rnacentral:rRNA from 1 species
AGAGUUUGAUCCUGGCUCAGAUUGAACGCUGGCGGCGUGCUUAACACAUGCAAGUCGAACGCGAACGUUCCUUCGGGGACUAGUAGAGUGGCGCACGGGUGAGUAACGCGUGGAUAAUCUGCCUCUAUGAUGGGGAUAACAGUUGGAAACGACUGCUAAUACCGAAUACGCUCAUAAAUAACUUUAUGAGGAAAGAUGGCCUCUGCCUGCAAGCUGUCGCAUAGAGAUGAGUCCGCGUCCCAUUAGCUGGUUGGCGGGGUAACGGCCCACCAAGGCAACGAUGGGUAGCCGAUCUGAGAGGAUGAUCGGCCACACUGGAACUGAAACACGGUCCAGACUCCUACGGGAGGCAGCAGUGGGGAAUAUUGCGCAAUGGGCGAAAGCCUGACGCAGCGACGCCGCGUGAGGGAUGAAGGUCUUCGGAUCGUAAACCUCUGUCAGAAGGGAAGAACGUACUGUGUGCUAAUCAGCGCAGUAGUGACGGUACCUUCAAAGGAAGCACCGGCUAACUCCGUGCCAGCAGCCGCGGU